ensembl:miRNA Gm23365 predicted gene, 23365
GGUUUCUCUGUGUAGCCUUGGCUGUCCUGGAACUCACUUUGUAGACCAGGCUGGCCUUGAACUCAGAAAUCCACCUGCCUCUGCCUCCCGAGUGCUGGGAUCAAAGGCGUGCGCCACCACGCCCG